rnacentral:rRNA from 1 species
CCUACGGGAGGCAGCAGUGAGGAAUAUUGGUCAAUGGACGCGAGUCUGAACCAGCCAAGUAGCGUGCAGGAUGACUGCCCUACGGGUUGUAAACUUCUUUUAUACAGGAGUAAAGUGAGGCACGUGUGCCUGUUUGUAAGUACCUUAUGAAUAAGGAUCGGCUAACUCCGUGCCAGCAGCCGCGGUAAUACGGAGGAUCCGAGCGUUAUCCGGAUUUAUUGGGUUUAAAGGGUGCGUAGAUGGGUUGUUAAGUCAGUGGUGAAAGUUUGGGGCUCAACCGUGAAAUUGCAAUUGAUACUGGCAGUCUAGAGUACAGUUGAGGUAGGCGGAAUGCGUGGUGUAGCGGUGAAAUGCUUAGAGAUCACACAGAACUCCGAUUGCGAAGGCAGCUUACUAAACUACAACUGACGUUGAUGCACGAAAGUGUGGGUAGCAAACAGGAUUAGAUACCCGAGUAGUC